GUGCAUGUUCGCGUGACCCUUGGAGGUGAAGCUACAAAUGGCCACAACCUCAUGGUUGGUGCCAUUUUGUUUGCCACUUGUGGAGGGGACGGACGCCCAAGCAGGAAGGCUCCUGGCUCACUGCUGAACAGGUAAGUUCACUAACCUGAUAGCAUGGUCGCACCGAUCGGGUGCGACCACGUGCAGCUGCGGGCCGGGGGCCGUGACAGAG